AUAGAGAGCAAUAACUUAACCAAUAUCGGAGUGAAGGAAUAAAUAAAUAUUUUAUCGUGAUAUGGUAUCGUAAAUUUAUUUCCUGGAGCUAACCUUAUCGGCUGAGAGCCUAGCUAUCUAAAAACCCUCCCAGCCACGAGGGUGUAAGCCCGAGAAAAUCGCCGACCCCGAAACCGAAAAUCGUUUCUUCCACGGCAGAAAUUACACGGUUUUAAAAUAAAAGUUGGCCACCGUUUGAAUAUACGAAAACUAUAAAGUUGCAUCCGAAAUUGUGCAUUAUGUUGUUCUACAACGGUGAAUUAUGGUCAAUAAAUUGACUAUCCUUCUCUCCCUGAUCCCGAAGCAAUUAAUCAAUUUAAUUUGUUGAAAGCAACAAGUUAUUUAUAUCCUUAUCCGUUAUCUCUAAACUCUAAUACCCUUUAAUCUCAACCUUUAUAAAAUUACUUUAAAAAAUUAAUCUUUCCAUAACUUUUCAUGUUUAUCAUAUUAUAUAGUGGGGCGACCGAGGCGUUUUAACGUACAAUUCACUUCUGAGGAAUAAUCAUUUUACAUUUAAUUUACCUUAGAAAAUCGCCUAUUUCAACAUUACAUAAACAGAACGUACUAAAAGGUUAAAACGUUAUAAGUGAGAUCUACCAAGUUUGAAUAGACGUUCAAAAACCUGAUGUUUUAAUAUAAAAAUGACACAAACAACAAUUAUAUUGAUUGCGUACUACCGGAUAAUUGGAUUCAAAAGCUGGAGACUAUUUCAUACUGCAAUGUUUUUCAAACAGAAAUAAAUAUUUUGGAAGUUUAUAGCUUAUGAUAGGAGGAAAAUUAACAACCAAAAGACAAUCCGACUGAUAUUGUUCAUUAUUAUCUAACUAUUAUUAUUGUUGAUA